GAGUUGGUGAUGGAAAAGGAGGCCUGGCGUGCUGCAGUCCAUGGGAUUGCAAAGAGUCGGACAUGACUGAAUGACUGAACUGAACUGAAUGCAGUGCUUGGAUGAUUAAGCAAAGAAACAUCAGGAUAGGAAACGUAAGAUGGAGCCAGAAGCAAGGUCAUUGCUGAACCUGUGUGCUGUGAGCUUUACCAUAUUUGAUGGAUGUGGAUAUUGGGUCCUUAGCAGCCACUGCAGACUAGCAGUCUGAUAAGAAAAGCAAGUCUGAAAAAGGUUAAGUACCUUGCCAAAAUCACAAGGCUGAUGUGCUCAAGAGCAAGACAGAGGAUGAGAUCAGAAGAUCUGUCAUCAGAUGCACUUUGAUAUUUC